GAUGAACGCUGGCGGCGUGCCUAAUACAUGCAAGUCGAGCGAACGGACGAGAAGCUUGCUUCUCUGAUGUUAUCGGCGGACGGGUGAGUAACACGUGGAUAACCUACCUAUAAGACUGGGAUAACUUCGGGAAACCGGAGCUAAUACCGGAUAAUAUUUUGAACCGCAUGGUUCAAAAGUGAAAGACGGUCUUGCUGUCACUUAUAGAUGGAUCCGCGCUGCAUUAGCUAGUUGGUAAGGUAACGGCUUACCAAGGCAACGAUGCAUAGCCGACCUGAGAGAGUGAUCGGCCGCACUGGAACGGGGACACGGUCCAGACUCCUACGGGAGGCAGCAGUAGGGAAUCUUCCGCAAUGGGCGAAAGCCUGACGGAGCAACGCCGCGUGAGUGAUGAAGGUCUUCGGAUCGUAAAACUCUGUUAUGAGGGAAGAACAUAUGUGUAAGUAACUGUGCACAUCUUGACGGUACCUAAUCAGAAAGCCACGGCUAACUACGUG
rnacentral:rRNA from 1 species